rnacentral:ncRNA from 2 species
CAGCCUCUGGUCGAUGGAACAAUGUAGGCA